GAGCCAUGUGGAAAAAAUUGGACCCAGGCUUGCAUGUGGGAAGUGGGUGAUGACAAACAGGCCUUGAAUCUGACUGUGUGUUAUAACUCAGUAUUAUUGCCACUUGUAUUUCAGGAGUAUUGGGAAAGGCUCAUCUGAAAACAAAGAGGGUUUUUAUUAACGGUUUUCUAGAAUUUCUUCUGGGUUGAGUUCCAUUGGAGACCUUACUUGGUAAGAGAGUAAUAGGGCUUGAUUUGUGAAUUUUUCAGUCCUGUAGUUAAAUUCCAUUAAAAAUUCACUGCAUAGCUUUCAUAGAAGCAAUCCCUUUUUUCUGUAUGCAUUGUCAACAUGAUAUUUUAAAAUGACAGACUCUAUUUUCUUCUCUGGAUAAAGUAAGAAAAUGUUACUUGUGUGUGUGUCUACAUGUGACUAUUGUUCAGAGGACUGCACACGAGGUGGCAGGAGGCCAGAUGGACUAAUCUGAUUGCAGGUGGAGCAGGGGCUUCCGGCUUGUCUCCUGGGAUCUUCUGAAAGGAAACUUUAAUGAAAAAUAGAUGAGAUUUCCACCAAGUCCAGCUUCUUGUGUCAAAUGCUUACAUUGUAUCAUUUCCCAUCCUCAUUAUAAUUACUGUCAUAAGAAUUGAUUAACAUUAUGCUUUUUUUUUUUCUGGUCUUCUUUGCAGUUUUACCAGAACAAAAAAUAAGAUAAAGCAGUGCACUGUCUGCACAGUAUGGGGAACCUCUGGUCCCUGUAGCAAUGAGGUUUCUUUUCUUUCUUAGGCAAUCUGUAUAUGGAGAGAAGUCAGAGUGAUCCUUCAGAAACCAAUCAUGGUAUUUUUACAUUUAAAUACCUUCAAUGGUUUGUUCCACAUUUUACUCAGAACAAAAAAGUUCUCAUAAUGGACUCUAAGGCCCCAGGUCAAUUGCCGCCUACCCCGAACACUGACACUGGACAAAAGCUGCAACUACUUACCUUAUACAAGCCUCACUCUCAUAUCCUGCUUAAACUCUCCCCUGGCAGUUUGCAUUCUGGUUUCUUCUCACAGCUGCUAGUACUUGAAUGGCAUAUGCUAGAAAUAAGGGUGUGGAAAAGCAGAGCAAAGUGAUGGUCUACUUAGAUGUGAAGAGCGAAUCUGCAAUGAGAAUUUCCCCCUGCUGUCUUUUCAUCCAGCUCAAACUUAGAUAUUUUGGACUCAGCUUGAAAUUUUAGAAGCGCAAAGAUAUUUAUUUCAGCUGAAUCUUUCCCACCAUGUGACUCAUGAGGCACAUAAGAUGAUUUUAGUUUUUGUGUGGACAAUUUUUUUAUCGCAUCAGUUAUGGAUAUAUUUUAAUGAGCACUGAAAAUGUUAUUCAUCCCUUAAAUCUAUGCUAUCAUUGUUAUUUGCUUUGGAUGAAGUCAAGUGAAAACAGUGAGCCAAUUUAUGGGGUAAUAAUAUAUAAAUAAUUGUACCAAGGGUGCAUGACUUUGGUACAAAUCAUGACAGUGGCUCAGAAAUUACUGGCAUUUGUGAAAUACUAUUUUAGUUCUUCCCUUUCCCUCAGCCUCAGUAUUGUCCCAUUACUGCUGUGUGGUGAGAGAGACAGAUGGGGCAGCAUUUCAGAAACACCAGCAGAGUGUGGAAAUGUUGGUGCUAGGUACUGACCACUCUGGUAUCAUUUCCAGCAAUCUAACUUACAGAGAUCUGGACUUGGAUUGUGUAACAAAUCAAAUCCUGGCUGACGGCAAAUCAGCCACGUACCUCAAGAGUAUUCAGAGAGGAAGACAGAGGUAUCGAGGAGGUCUAAUCGUGUAGCAGGGAUGCUCAUAAAUUUUUAAAAAUUUUUGUAUUCAUGUGCUGGGUGUGGAGAUUGGUGGCCAGAUCAAAUAUAGACACGAGAUGAUGAUCAUGUUUCAAUGCAGAACCAUACAGUUUCAAUCAAGCUAGGAUCUGUCAAGAAAAACAUGCAAAACCCAGCCCGUUAAGAGAAAUGCAGUCUUUCCCAGCUCAAUUAUCAUUACCCAACCUCUUUGGUCACAUUUUCUUUGAUUCAGAGCCCCAUCCAUCAUGUUUGGAGGUGUCCUUCACCACUUGUUUAGUUGUUUCAAGGCCAAUACUCACCUACCACCUGUAUUUCGCAUAAAACUCAUGAAAACAUUUUUCUUUGUAUGAAAACUAGAACGGACAUGCAAACCACUUGCUCCAGGUGAAGGGAGACCUCUGAAGGCACAGGGGGAGUUAAGUGAGUUGCAAAAUCUACAAGAACGAAUGUCUUCACAUUGAAAAAAAUGGGCAUAGGAAAUAGAAGGAAACUAUUCUUAGAUGAACUAUGAAGCCAGGUAGACAUAAAAAAUGCCCUUAUUUUUUUUUUCCCCGAUUAGAUACUCCAUCUUCACAUUAUCUUUCUCUGUGAUGAAUGUUCCUACUUUGGAAGUACUUUGUAGUGCUCUCUCUUAUUCCAAGCAACCUGCUGUGCCUUGAUGCUUAGCUUUCCAAGCGUACCCUUUGAUACUUCUUCUAUUGUGAGUAUUCUCAGUCCAUAAAACUCCCUUCUGAGACAUUUUUCUCACGCAAUUCCUACAUUUUUGGCACUGGGUCCUGCAGACUUAAAGGUCUAGAAACUUAAAGGUGAUGUUGUUUUAAGAAUACACUCAGGAUGUCCCUAUGUUUUACAUAUCAAACAAACAAAAACUCUUAUCCUCCAACCUCCAGAAAAUCCAAGGCAAAAUAAAAUUGAUUAUGCUUCUACUUCCUGCUGUGAAAAAUGUGUAGUUUUGUCAUAUUCUUUAUCAGUUGUUGCAAAAACACAUUUCGUCUAUCCCAAACCAAUAUUACUUAUUUGUAUAUGGUGUUAGUUUCUUGUUGUUGCUGUAAUAAAUUCCUAUAAAAAUAUUUAUUAUCUUAACAGUUCUGAAGGUCAAAUCCAGAAUGAGUCCACUGAGACAAAAAUCAAGAUAUUGGCAAGGCUGCAUUCCUUCUUGAGACCCUGACAGGAGUGGGGGUAGGGGGAUGGGAACAUCAAUUUUCUUCCUUUUCUGCCCCCAUAGGUUACCUGCCUUUAUCUGCCUCCUCUUCAAGGCCUCCAAUUUAGCG
rnacentral:lncRNA from 1 species